ACGAAGUCUUCGGACUGAGUGGCGGACGGGUGAGUAACACGUGAGAACCUGCCUUAAGGUCGGGGAUAACAGUUGGAAACGACUGCUAAUACCGGAUGUGCCUACGGGUGAAAGAUUUAUUGCCUAAAGAUGGGCUCGCGUCUGAUUAGCUAGUUGGAGUGGUAAUGGCACACCAAGGCGACGAUCAGUAGCUGGUCUGAGAGGAUGAUCAGCCGCACUGGGACUGAGACACGGCCCAGACUCCUACGGGAGGCAGCAGUGGGGAAUUUUCCGCAAUGGGCGAAAGCCUGACGGAGCAAGACCGCGUGAGGGAGGAAGGCUCUUGGGUUGUAAACCUCUUUUGUCAGGGAAGAACACAAUGACGGUACCUGACGAAUCAGCAUCGGCUAACUCCGUGCCAGCAGCCGCGGUAAUACGGAGGAUGCAAGCGUUAUCCGGAAUUAUUGGGCGUAAAGCGUCCGCAGGUGGUUGUACAAGUCUGCUGUCAAAGCGCGGAGCUUAACUCCGUAAAGGCGGUGGAAACUGUGCGACUAGAGUUCGGUAGGGGUCGCGGGAAUUCCCAGUGUAGCGGUGAAAUGCGUAGAUAUUGGGAAGAACACCGGUGGCGAAAGCGCGCGACUGGACCGAGACUGACACUCAUGGACGAAAGCUAGGGGAGCGAAAGGGAUUAGAUACCCCUGUAGUCCUAGCCGUA
rnacentral:rRNA from 1 species